GACGAACGCUGGCGGCGUGCCUAAUACAUGCAAGUCGAGCGAGACUCUUCGGAGUCUAGCGGCGGACGGGUGAGUAACACGUGGGCAACCUGCCUGUAAGACUGGGAUAACACCGGGAAACCGGUGCUAAUACCGGAUAAUCCUUUUCCUCUCAUGAGGAAAAGCUGAAAGUCGGUUUCGGCUGACACUUACAGAUGGGCCCGCGGCGCAUUAGCUAGUUGGUGAGGUAACGGCUCACCAAGGCGACGAUGCGUAGCCGACCUGAGAGGGUGAUCGGCCACACUGGGACUGAGACACGGCCCAGACUCCUACGGGAGGCAGCAGUAGGGAAUCUUCCACAAUGGACGAAAGUCUGAUGGAGCAACGCCGCGUGAGCGAUGAAGGCCUUCGGGUCGUAAAGCUCUGUUGUUAGGGAAGAACAAGUAUCGGAGUAACUGCCGGUACCCUGACGGUACCUAACCAGAAAGCCACGGCUAACUACGUGCCAGCCGCCGCCGUAACAC
rnacentral:rRNA from 1 species